UACGAAGGGUGCAAACGUUGCUCGGAAUUAUUGGGCGUAAAGCGCACGUAGGCGGCUUUGUAAGUCGGAUGUGAAAUCCCUCGGCUUAACCAAGGAAGUGCAUCCGAAACUGCAAGGCUUGAGUACUUAAGAGGAUCGCGGAAUUCCCGGUGUAGAGGUGAAAUUCGUAGAUAUCGGGAAGGAACACCAGUGGCGAAGGCGGCGAUCUGGGAAGAUACUGACGCUGAGGUGCGAAAGCGUGGGAG
rnacentral:rRNA from 1 species